CCUACGGGAGGCAGCAGUGGGGAAUAUUGCACAAUGGGGGAAACCCUGAUGCAGCAACGCCGCGUGAAGGAAGACGGUUUUCGGAUUGUAAACUUCUGUUCUUAGUGAAGAAUAAUGACGGUAGCUAAGGAGCAAGCCACGGCUAACUACGUGCCAGCAGACGCGGUAAUUCGUAGGUGGCAAGCGUUGUCCGGAUUUACUGGGUGGAAAGGGAGCGCAGGCGGGAAGCCAAGUCAGCUGUGAAAACUACGGGCUUAACUUGUAGACUGCAGUUGAAACUGGUUUUCUUGAGUGAAGUAGAGGUUGGCGGAAUUCCGGGUGUAGCGGUGAAAUGCGUAGAUAUUCGGAGGAACACCGGUGGCGAAGGCGGCCAACUGGGCUUUAACUGACGCUGAGGCUCGAAAGUGUGGGGAGCAAACAGGAUUAGAUACCCUAGUAGUC
rnacentral:rRNA from 1 species